UACGGAGGGUGCAAGCGUUGUUCGGAAUCACUGGGCGUAAAGCGCGUGUAGGCGGCCACUUAAGUCUGAUGUGAAAGCCCUGGGCUCAACUCAGGAAGUGCAUUGGAUACUGGGUGGCUGGAGUACCGGAGAGGAGGGUGGAAUUCCUGGUGUAGCGGUGAAAUGCGUAGAUAUCAGGAGGAACACCGGUGGCGAAGGCGUCCCUCUGGCCGGAUACUGACGCUGAGGCACGAAAGCGUGGGGAGCAAACAGG
rnacentral:rRNA from 1 species